UACGUAGGGGGCAAGCGUUAUCCGGAAUCAUUGGGCGUAAAGGGUGCGUAGGCGGCCUAUAAAGUCUGGGGUGAAAGGCUACGGCUUAACCGUAGUAAGCCUUGGAAACUUAUGGGCUUGAGUGCAGGAGAGGAGAGUGGAAUUCCUAGUGUAGCGGUGAAAUGCGUAGAUAUUAGGAGGAACACCAGUGGCGAAGGCGACUCUCUGGACUGUAACUGACGCUGAGGCACGAAAGCGUGGGGAGCGAACAGG
rnacentral:rRNA from 1 species